rnacentral:lncRNA from 1 species
AGUUCGUCCAUGCAAGCCCUACUGGACACAGGCAUCUCCACCCUGAAGACAGAAACUAAAAGACCUUCUUUCAAACUGAACUGGCCCUGGGCCAUGACUUUGAACCUGGAACAAAAGUGAGAAAAGACAGCAACACGCAGCUGCAGGAUGAGACCAGUGGAGCAAAGCUCAGCAAGGGUCACAAACAUCUACUGCUGCAGGGCCCUGUGUGCCUUUCCCAGGAGCUGUGCUUUUCCUCUGAGCGUCCCAGCAGGGAUGGCUUAACAAUUAAAAGGGCAACAGUGUCUCCAGAUCUCACCGGCUAACGAGGCGGUGGGCCAUGGAUUAACAGCAAGUAUGUGAAAGAAGAUGCUAGCUGCUGGAAUGGUAAAACGUGCCUGUGCCAUGUGGGGAUAGUAACUGUACAGGAUGGCCUGCAGAAGUCCAUAAAACUUAGACUGGUUUCUCUCAGGCAACUAUUAUUGAAAGAAAGCCGUUUUAACUGACUUCCUCCCAGUCUAAGUUCUUAUGAUUUACACCAUUUUACUUUUAAGUGAAAAUAAGCCUCCCGGGCUAGUUAUAGCUGAUUAGAUCCAAAAAACCAUUUAUAGGACACAGUUUACCACUUAGCAUUUCCACAGGAGGGAAACUGCCUGGAAGGAAGUUGGGCAAGACAGUUGAACAAUGAGUGCACCUAAGUGGAUGGGCUCAAGAAGACCCAAUCAAAUCUUCCCUUUGUGUUUAAGGGUUGCCAGAAGAAUAAAGGGCGGAGACUUCUUUGAGCUCUGUAGGAACCAUAGAGA